UUCCGGUUGAUCCCGCCGGACCUGACUGCUAUCGGAUUGAUACUAAGCCAUGCGAGUCUUUGUAGUAAUACAAGGCAUACGGCUCAGUAACGCGUAGUCAACCUACCCUAUGGACAAGAAUAAUCUCGGGAAACUGAGCAUAAUUCUUGAUAGAUCAUAAUGCCUGGAAUGGUUUAUGGUUAAAAUGAUUCGUCGCCAUAGGAUGGGACUGCGGCCUAUCAGCUUGUUGGUGAGGUAAUGGCCCACCAAGGCGAUUACAGGUACGGGCUCUGAGAGGAGAAGCCCGGAGAUGGGUACUGAGACAAGGACCCAGGCCCUAUGGGGCGCAGCAGGCGAGAAAACUUUGCAAUGUGCGAAAGCACGACAAGGUUAAUCCGAGUGAUUUCUGCUAAAGAAAUCUUUUGCAAGUCAUAAAACCACUAGUGAAUAAGGGGUGGGCAAGUUCUGGUGUCAGCCGCCGCGGUAAAACCAGCACCUCAAGUGGUCAGGAGGAUUAUUGGGCCUAAAGCAUCCGUAGCCUGUUCUAUAAGUUUGCGGUUAAAUCUAUACGCUCAACGUAUAGGCUGCCGUAAAUACUGUAGAACUAGGGAGUGGGAGAGGUAGACGGUACUCGAUAGGAAGGGGUAAAAUCCUUUGAUCUAUUGAUGACCACCUGUGGCGAAGGCGGUCUACCAGAACACGUUCGACGGUGAGGGAUGAAAGCUGGGGGAGCAAACCGGAUUAGAUACCCGGGUAGUCCCAGCUGUAAACGAUGCAGACUCGAUGAUGCAAUGGCAUAGAGCUAUUGCAGUAUCGCAGGGAAGCCGUUAAGUCUGCCGCCUGGGAAGUACGUACGCAAGUAUGAAACUUAAAGGAAUUGGCGGGGGAGCACCACAAGGGGUGAAGCCUGCGGUUCAAUUGGAGUCAACGCCGGG
rnacentral:rRNA from 1 species